rnacentral:rRNA from 1 species
AGUCGACGAGAGGACAUGGGAAGCUUGCUUCCUAUGAAAUCGAGUGGCAAACGGGUGAGUAACGCGUAAACAACCUGCCCUUCGGAUGGGGAUAACAGCCGGAAACGGCUGCUAAUACCGAAUACGAUCUUUUCGUCGCAUGACGGAAAGAAGAAAGGAUGGCCUCUAUACAAAGCUAUCGCCGAAGGAGGGGUUUGCGUCUGAUUAGCUGGUUGGAGGGGUAACGGCCCAACAAGGCGAUGAUCAGUAGCCGGUCUGAGAGGAUGAACGGCCACAUUGGGACUGAGACACGGCCCAGACUCCUACGGGAGGCAGCAGUGGGGAAUCUUCCGCAAUGGACGAAAGUCUGACGGAGCAACGCCGCGUGAGUGAAGAAGGUCUUCGGAUUGUAAAGCUCUGUUAUACGGGACGAAAAAGACGGAUGCCAACAGUAUCCGUCCGUGACGGUACCGUAAGAGAAAGCCACGGCUAACUACGUGCCAGCAGCCGCGGUAAUACGUAGGUGGCAAGCGUUGUCCGGAAUUAUUGGGCGUAAAGGGCGCGCAGGCGGUUCGGUAAGUCUGUCUUAAAAGUGCGGGGCUUAACCCCGUGAGGGGACGGAAACUGUCGAACUUGAGUGUCGGAGAGGAAAGCGGAAUUCCUAGUGUAGCGGUGAAAUGCGUAGAUAUUAGGAGGAACACCGGUGGCGAAAGCGGCUUUCUGGACGACAACUGACGCUG